AGCGGCAGACGGGUGAGUAACGCGUGAAUAAUCAACCCUGUACAAAGGGAUAGCCUCGGGAAACCGGGAUUAAUACCAUAUGAAGUAUAUUAAUCGCAUGAUAGAUAUAUUAAAACUUUGGUGGUACAGGACGAGUUCGCGUCCCAUUAGCUAGUUGGUGAGAUAAAAGCUUACCAAGGCGACGAUGGGUAGCCGGCCUGAGAGGGUGAACGGCUACACUGGAACUGAGACACGGUCCAGACUCCUACGGGAGGCAGCAGUGGGGAAUAUUGCACAAUGGAGGAAACUCUGAUGCAGCGACGCCGCGUGAGCGAAGAAGGCUUUCGAGUCGUAAAGCUCUGUCCUAAGAGAAGAAGAAGUGACGGUAACUUAGGAGGAAGCCCCGGCUAACUACGUGCCAGCAGCCGCGGUAAUACGUAGGGGGCUAGCGUUGUCCGGAAUUACUGGGCGUAAAGGGUGAGUAGGUGGUCAUUAAAGUCAGAUGUAAAAGGCAAUGGCUCAACCAUUGUAAGCAUUUGAAACUUAAUGACUUGAGUGCAGGAGAGGUAAAUGGAAUUCCUAGUGUAGCGGUGAAAUGCGUAGAUAUUAGGAAGAACACCAGUGGCGAAGGCGAUUUACUGGACUGUAACUGACACUGAGUCACGAAAGCGUGGGGAGCGAACAGGAUUAGAUACCCUGGUAGUCCACGCUGUAAACGAUGAGUGCUAGGUGUCGGCAAGAGAUUGUCGGUGCCGCAGUUAACGCAUUAAGCACUCCGCCUGGGGAGUACGAUCGCAAGAUUGAAACUCAAAGGAAUUGACGGGGACCCGCACAAGCAGCGGAGCAUGUGGUUUAAUUCGAAGCAACGCGAAGAACCUUACCAAGACUUGACAUCCUCUUGACAGGUGUAGAAGUACACCCUCUCUUCGGAGCAAGAGUGACAGGUGGUGCAUGGUUGUCGUCAGCUCGUGUCGUGAGAUGUUGGGUUAAGUCCCGCAACGAGCGCAACCCUUAUCAUUAGUUGCCAUCAUUAAGUUGGGAACUCUAAUGAGACUGCCGGUGAUAAACCGGAGGAAGGUGGGGAUGACGUCAAAUCAUCAUGCCCCUUAUGUCUUGGGCUACACACGUGCUACAAUGGUCGGUACAACGGGAAGCUAAGGAGUGAUCUGGAGCUAACCCCAAUAAGCCGAUCCCAGUUCGGAUUGCAGGCUGCAACUCGCCUGCAUGAAGUUGGAGUUGCUAGUAAUCGCGAAUCAGAAUGUCGCGGUGAAUGCGUUCCCGGGUCUUGUACACACCGCCCGUCACACCACGGGAGUUGGUAAUACCCGAAGCCGUCGAGCUAACGUAAGAGGCAGACGUCGAAG
rnacentral:rRNA from 1 species